rfam:Myotis davidii contig210641, whole genome shotgun sequence.
GAGACACCCUUAUGGGGCAGGACUUGCUUCAGUGGGGCUUUGGUGCUCACUGAGUCUGCCUCUUAAGUGUGUCACU